rnacentral:rRNA from 1 species
UACGUAGGGUGCAAGCGUUGUCCGGAAUUAUUGGGCGUAAAGAGCUCGUAGGCGGUUUGUCGCGUCUGCUGUGAAAACCCGAGGCUCAACCUCGGGCCUGCAGUGGGUACGGGCAGACUAGAGUGCGGUAGGGGAGAUUGGAAUUCCUGGUGUAGCGGUAAAAUGCGCAGAUAUCAGGAGGAACACCGGUGGCGAAGGCGGGUCUCUGGGCCGUAACUGACGCUGAGGAGCGAAAGCAUGGGGAGCGAACAGG